CGCAAUAGCUAGGGGAGCCUGAGGGCUGAGAGUCCGAAGGCUGAGAGUCCGACCCGACGGACAACCCUCUGAACCUGAUCUGGAUAAUACCAGCGAAGGGAAGCGGCAGUCUGAGCGA
rfam:Nitrospirae bacterium 13_2_20CM_62_7 13_2_20cm_scaffold_9305, whole genome shotgun sequence.